rnacentral:rRNA from 1 species
GACGUAGGGCGCGAGCGUUGUCCGGAUUUAUUGGGCGUAAAGAGCUCGUAGGCGGCUUGUCGCGUCGUCCGUGAAAACCAGGGGCUCAACCCCUGGCUUGCGGUCGAUACGGGCAGGCUAGAGUUCGGUAGGGGAGACUGGAAUUCCUGGUGUAGCGGUGAAAUGCGCAGAUAUCGGGAGGAACACCGGUGGCGAAGGCGGUUCUCUGGGCCUGUACUGACGCUGAGGAGCGAAAGCGUGGGGAGCGAACAGG